GACGAACGCUGGCGGCGUGCUUAACACAUGCAAGUCGAACGGAAAGGCCCUUCGGGGUACUCGAGUGGCGAACGGGUGAGUAACACGUGGGUGAUCUGCCCUGCACUUUGGGAUAAGCCUGGGAAACUGGGUCUAAUACCGAAUACACCUUGCUGGUCGCAUGAUCUGGUGGGGGAAAGCUUUUGCGGUGUGGGAUGGGCCCGCGGCCUAUCAGCUUGUUGGUGAGGUUAUGGCUUACCAAGGCGACGACGGGUAGCCGGCCUGAGAGGGUGACCGGCCACACUGGGACUGAGAUACGGCCCAGACUCCUACGGGAGGCAGCAGUGGGGAAUAUUGCACAAUGGGCGCAAGCCUGAUGCAGCGACGCCGCGUGAGGGAUGACGGCCUUCGGGUUGUAAACCUC
rnacentral:rRNA from 1 species